rnacentral:rRNA from 1 species
AGCGAACGCUGGCGGCAGGCUUAACACAUGCAAGUCGAGCGGGCGUAGCAAUACGUCAGCGGCAGACGGGUGAGUAGCGCGUGGGAACAUACCCUUUUGGUUCGGAACAACACAGGGAAACUUGUGCUAAUACCGGAUAAGCCCUUACGGGGAAAGAUUUAUCGCCGAAAGAUUGGCCCGCGUCUGAUUAGCUAGUUGGUGAGGUAACGGCUCACCAAGGCGACGAUCAGUAGCGGUCUGAGAGGAUGAUCAGCCACAUUGGGACUGAGACACGGCCCAAACUCCUACGGGAGGCAGCAGUGGGGAAUAUUGGACAAUGGGCGCAAGCCUGAUCCAGCCAUGCCGCGUGAGUGAUGAAGGCCCUAGGGUUGUAAAGCUCUUUUGUGCGGGAAGAUAAUGACGGUACCGCAAGAAUAAGCCCCGGCUAACUUCGUGCCAGCCGCCG